rnacentral:lncRNA from 1 species
ACAACUUAAAUUGAUUAACUCAAUAUGCUUUGCUCUUUAAAAUUGUUCUUGGCACCAUUCUCUUAAUCUCAGUCUUAACUAAAUAAGUUAAAACAUUAUAUUCAAUCUUGGGAAGAUGAUAGUCAUACUUAUUUGAAAAUUUAUAUAGAGAUAGACAAUCCUUCCAUUGGUUAAGCAAUUUCAUUCUUUUCUAUCAUGUGAACUUAAAUGCAACAUUAAAUGCUUAAUCUUUUGAUCUACCACUCAUAAAUAAAUAAAUCAUGUAACACAACUUUAUCUUGUUUAAUGUGCCUAAGGAUGGAGAAAAAUAAAUAGAGAAAUAGAUUUUGUUUCGUUGGUGUUUUUCCACCAGUAGAGCCCAUACACUUGAUCUCUACCUUAGUUUUGCAAACAGGACAACACAUCAAGCAAAGUUUAUUAAUUCUACAAGUGAAAGUUCUGUGAGCAUGCACACUAAGCAAGAUGCUGCUAGCUACUAUUAAAGCCUACUUCAACCUGCUGACUAAAUCAAAGAACAAAAGUGACAUUACCAUUACAGAGGUAUGCAACCAUCAAGACCUCCAUCUCUCAAGAUGGAGAGAUACACAAGAGUGGAAGGAGAAGACCUGUCGGUAAACUUUAAAUUUUACAUCAUUGCCAUAAGGUAAUAUGGUAGUAUUCCUGUCUACAUUAAUAAUGUCACUCUAAUAUUUUCAUCUACAUAAAUAUAAAAAAAUAAAAUAAAAUAAAUCUUUAUUGCUUCAUUUACUGCAUCAUAAAAUAUUAAAAGCUCCAUAGGAAUAAACUUAUGGUAACCCUGUAGGAAUAUUUAUCGUGAUGACAUAAAGAAUAAUAAUAAUAGCUUCUGUAUUUACUUCGUCGCAUUAUGAAAAGCCUAAGCCACAUAAGAAUAAAUAUUCUUUAUAGAGGCAUAAAAAUACAACCAUAUAUAUGAAGCACACAUAUUUAAUUUCUACAUAAUUAAACUAGAAAAGGAGAAUCCUGCUAGAAUCUGUCAAUUCAAAUCAACUCAAAGAACAAUCAAUUACUUACUGGC